UACGGAGGGUGCUAGCGUUGUUCGGAAUUACUGGGCGUAAAGCGCACGUAGGCGGCUAUUCAAGUCAGAGGUGAAAGCCCGGGGCUCAACCCCGGAACUGCCUUUGAAACUAGAUAGCUAGAAUCUUGGAGAGGUCAGUGGAAUUCCGAGUGUAGAGGUGAAAUUCGUAGAUAUUCGGAAGAACACCAGUGGCGAAGGCGACUGACUGGACAAGUAUUGACGCUGAGGUGCGAAAGCGUGGGGAGCAAACAGG
rnacentral:rRNA from 1 species